GCAGACCGAACCCUACCCACACACCGGCGAUCAUACAACAGUGAGUGACCCGAACCAGCGGUCGUCGGCGACGACGGUGAGAGCUCCGGUGGUAAAUGAGAUUGCUUACUUUCACAUAUUCUUUUGCAACAUGCACCUUCCUGGCAAGAGAAAAGAUCAGCAAUACCAAAUAUAUCUACAUUUGGUGCAAUUGCUGAAAGUCCAAACUUAAGAAACCUGAAGUGGAGAUAGAUAGCUUGAAUCAACCAUAUUAGAAACUUGAAUGGCUACAUCACUUCCAUUUCAUGCUUCACUAUGCCCAGAAGUCAUCAAAUGAUUUGCCUUUUGAGAUAUAUCUCAUGAUAAGCAGUAACUCUUCAAGCAAGUACACUGCCUCUCUAUAAUCAAACAGCAUUUUGGCUGUAAAUAAAAAACGAAGCAAUAUAAUAAUCAAAGAAUAAGUGGAACUCCAUAGUAUAAAUGCAACUUUAUCUGACAAGAGGAGAAAAGCCUGUAUGUGGUUGCCUCAAAAAUGUAUUAAAGAAGCUAUAGAAAUAUCCAUUCACCUCUGAGCACAUAAUUGCAACUAAAAUAAUCACAAAUGUUACAUGGAUUGAUUACAUCCAUUCAGAUCUAGUGAUCUAGAUGAGUCACAAUGGACUCUAGCUCACUGAGUUCUAAUGACGGGCCUCACGGCCUAGGGGAGGCUGAGGCUUGUGACUCUAAACAUUGGUAACUAUGUGAUGUUCAUCCUUCGUGUCCUCAAGGUUUAUGUAUCCAAUUCUAAUUUUAGUUCCACUGCACAUAAGUAAUGAUGAGGCAAGCCCUAGUGAUUGUACUGAAGUUUACUGAGGCCACUUGUUCCAAUUCUAAUGUAGGAAUUGAAUGAAUCAAAGAUGGGUUUAACUGUUUAAGAGGGUUAGGAUGUGUUUAGGAGUGAUCAUAGGACAAAAGACAGAUUUGUCCCAGUAGCCAGAACAUAUUGCCAUUAUCAUAAGAAAAUCCAAUAUUAUCUAGUGACUAUGAAAUUCUAAACAUUAAUAAUCUACCAACUGAACCACCACCAGUUGGCUAAGAAAGCAUAGUUAACAUCAGUCAAAGCCAAAUUUUUUGAAGGUCAUAAAUAUAGAUAAUCAAGAUUGUUGCUCUAAAGUAAGAUCAUGGUGGAAGAAUUGUUAUUUCUAAUGAACAUCAACUGUUGUAUAGGUAUUUAAAAUUUUCUUCCAACAAAUUGGAGUCUACUAAUGCUUUUCAUUAUUCACCUUAUUGUUAUCAUAUGAGAAAAACUAAGAAAUGUGUGAAAAUGGUGGUUUGAUGAGACUGAAAAUAUCCAUUUUGUGCAAAAGCACCAGAGUUUAGGUAGAUAUUAACCUCUCCCAAGACUCGGAUAACUGGAACCAACAUUAGGUAGUAGUCCUUUAAAAUGACAAAGCUAAGAAAAGUAAACUAAUUAGCUAAAAUUUAGAAACUAAUUGGUGUUUUGAAAAUGAAGCACCUAAAUGUUUUCUUCCCUCAUAGAUUUUAUUAAGAGAAACUAAUAUAAAAUAGCCCUGUGCCAUGGACCAAGUGACAAUACUAUUCUAGUUAAGAAAUAUAGUAGACUGUUUCUUGUCAUAUUAUUGGUUAACAUCUAGUUCAUGCCUGCUUGGCCAGAGAGUCAGCCAUAGCAAAUGCAAUGGCUGAUUCUCUGGCCAAGCAGGGGGUGUAAAGGGGAGAUCUAUUUUGGGCUGCUUUGUAAUUGUGUCUCAGGCUUAGGCAGUUUUGGUGUAUAUGGUUCAGUCCUAGGGGGUAACAUCUCGAGCCUCCUCCUAGGCUGAUUGUAUUUUUGUUAUUUGAUUUAAUAAAAUUACUCUCACUUAUAAAAAAAAAAAAAUCUAGUUCAUGCCUCUUCUUAAUUUCCAAAUAUUUAUGUACAACACCAACAAUUUCAAAUUCAGAACUUAAUAUUAGAUGAGAAUACUGUUCUAUACAACUAGAAUAUAUAAUACUCAUUCUUCUCAAUCACAAAGCACUAGGUACUAUUCUAACUCAUUGUUAACUCAGAGAUGGUUUACCAUACCCAAAACUAUGUAUAAUAUAGAAACUAAAUCAAUAAAGAAAAAUAAAUCAAUAAUAGUAACUUCCCUAAAUACAAAGACAUCCAACCAAGUCUCCUAACCCACCAAAAAGGGCUUACUAGUAUUUCUUGAUGAAUAAGGGCUUACUAGUAUUUCCAUACAUGUGUCUCAAACAACUAUACAAAGGUAAUCCACAAUUAUAUCUCUCUAACAGUUAGGUUUAGGGACUAUCACUACUCUAACCCUUGACAGGUUUUCUUGAUAACCUUUCUAUCAUUUGAAUACCUAAACCUCACUAAUUUCAACCAUGGAUAUGACUUAAUUUCUUGAAUUUUCAAUAAAAAGUUCUAUUAAUUUCAAUAGAACAGAUGAAAUCUCCACUAUCCCCACAAAAAUGUGAAAAAAAAAAUGAAAAGAAAGGAACAUGAAUAAGCCUUUAUUUUGCAUCAUAAAACAGAUUCAAACUGAAAUAUAUGGAACCAUAAAAAAUAUAAAAGCAUUCAAAAUCACACACAAGAAUAGGAAAAGAGCAAUAAAUUGAACCAGAAUUGCACCUUAAUCCUGCUCCAACUACUAAUAAAAGAUAAAAAAAAAUGUUUCCUAUUUUCAUUAUUCCAAACUAACAACAAUAUGUUUCUGCUCAAAUAAAAAAAAAAAAAAACGAAAAAAAAAGAAAAGAAUCCAAAUGUUGGUGUUUUGAUGCACUUAUACCUGAUACAAAAAAAUAAAACCCUUUUAUCAUUGAUUUCUCAAAAAAUUAAUGCCAUAUCAUAUGAAACGCCCAAAGACCUACAACUGGAUAAGUAACCCCUACGUGUUUGGCCAUCCUAAAGCUGACAUUUUGAUAACUUUUUCAGGUUGUUGUAUAUUUGAAAUUAUUGUACAACAACCUGCAUUUAGAGCUCCCGUAAGACUUCGCUUGGGCUAGAUUUCUUGGCUCUCUGAGUUUUACAUGCCUUAAGUAACAUUGUUUUAAUAGCAUCUCAAUUAAACAGGAUAUAGCUGGAUUGAUCAACAAGAUAAACAGAUCCUCCAUUUCUCUGCUCCCAACUGUGUAUUCCUCCUCACUGUAAGUUUAAUGUCCUCCAAAAUCAUUCUGGUACCCUUUCAACAAAUUGGAUUACCAAGAAUUUUGGAAACAAGAAAUCAAAAUAAAAAAAGGAAAUCAAUGAAAUAAUAAUAAAAGAGGAAUAAUAAAAUGAGAAACAAUUUUUUGAACGGGAUGAAAAAAAUAAGAUGCAUUAUGUGCAUCACGGAGGAACGACGGAUCAACGGGCAGAGGAAUAGUGAUUCUUACCAUUUCAAUGGAGGAAAGAACAAUGAGAAGCGGCGGUGGCAAUUAGGCGGAGCAGUGACAACAGAAACUAGGCGGAGCGGCGGCGGCAAAUGGGAGGAUCAAUGGUGCCGGCAACAGAGGGAGGACGAAGAUGACAGAUUGUAGGAGGAUAAACUCUUUGGCAUUGGUGACUAGACGGAGCUACAGCGAUGACUAGAUCAAGCAACAGCAGCAAGACGAUGAAGUGUAGGAGGAGAAACUACUUAGCAGCGGUGAAGGUGAUUUUUGAGAGAAGCAGGAGAGGCACUCUCGAUUGUGGGGGCAAUUUUAAGAUUUUAAAUUUUUAUCUACUUACCCUCCACUCGGGAAAUGGAUUUACCCGUAGAUUCCAAUAGUA